rnacentral:rRNA from 1 species
AUUGAACGCUGGCGGCAGGCCUAACACAUGCAAGUCGAACGGUAACAGGAAGAAGCUUGCUUCUUUGCUGACGAGUGGCGGACGGGUGAGUAAUGUCUGGGAAACUGCCUGAUGGAGGGGGAUAACUACUGGAAACGGUAGCUAAUACCGCAUAUCGUCGCAAGACCAAAGAGGGGGACCUUCGGGCCUCUUGCCAUCGGAUGUGCCCAGAUGGGAUUAGCUAGUAGGUGGGGUAACGGCUCACCUAGGCGACGAUCCCUAGCUGGUCUGAGAGGAUGACCAGCCACACUGGAACUGAGACACGGUCCAGACUCCUACGGGAGGCAGCAGUGGGGAAUAUUGCACAAUGGGCGCAAGCCUGAUGCAGCCAUGCCGCGUGUAUGAAGAAGGCCUUCGGGUUGUAAAGUACUUUCAGCGGGGAGGAAGGGAGUAAAGUUAAUACCUUUGCUCAUUGACGUUACCCGCAGAAGAAGCACCGGCUAACUCCGUG